rnacentral:lncRNA from 1 species
UAUUGUGGGGGAAUGACCCCUAUUUAUAGAAAAACUUGUAGCUUUGUCACAUUGACAUGUGUCAUGUUAUGAUUGGUUCUUGAUGUCGACACGUGCUGCGCUCUGAUUGGCUUCUAAUCUUGACACGUGUCGAGUAGUGAUUGGCAUCCUGGUCGGAGGGGAACUCUUCUGGGUCCUUGACAGUAUAGCGUUGGUCGGUGCUCGGUAGUUCGGGAUUGGUCAAGUAUGG